CGUUGAUUGGCGCUGAGGAGCUUGAGCAGUUAAUGCGAGCAACUUUCGAGAGCCCGGAUUCAAGAGAGCAGCGCUGAGGUGAUUUACCCUCCAGCAGCUCCGAACCCGGAAAUCAGACAAGACCGGGAAGUCAUCGGGACCUCGCGGAGUCAGAUCAUUCAUUGGAGGGGACGCUUCAACUGACGACGGUCAGUCAGAGGUCGGAGGAGUGGUGCGUUCACUCACGGAUCCUUUCAUUCACCAGACGCAGCAGCUGAUAGAUACAAAGGCAACGAGCACAUCGUGCCAUCUACCCGGCGCUUCACCGCCUCCAACGUUUGCUCUCCCUCCUGGGUCUUGGCCUUUGUGGGAGACAUCGACACCUGUUUCUUCGGUACCGCUGGAUCGUUCCCUGCUGAGGACUCGAAGUCAGCAUCUGGGCAACCAACACCGCCAACGACCUGACAGCGCCUUGGAUACCACUGCCGACUUACGUUGCAUCACCGCCAUAACCAACCCCGGACUCUACCACCAGCCCCUGAGCGCUCUGUCGCAGCACCCCAAGAUCACCAACCCUAUUGGUGUUCUAUACUGCAACGGCUACAGAACAGCUUGAAAGCAGAGUACGUACGCUUGAACGUCGUCUGCAUCAACGUGAGAUACAAAGUCGUCAUCUGGCACGUCAAGCACGUAGAUACAGGCGGGUGACAAGAAAUCUACGUGAAGAAAUCGUCCGGAAGGACUUCAUGAAUAAAGCGCUGGUGUCUGAAAUCGUGAGGCUCCAAAAACUACAAGGACCUGGUGGCAACAGAUGUCGUGGACUGACCUGAAU